rnacentral:tRNA from 1 species
UUGAGAGUGUCAGAAGUUUAUGAGUUUAUUUUAGAGGUAAAAUAUGGGUAUUAAACCCUUCUCAAG